UCGGAAUGUAGCUAUACAAUGCCGUUCUCACAAGUUGAUGAGUAUCCGUAAAAAAUGUCUGGACUUAGCCAUUGAUAGGACAUGGUAACCUAGGUCUGCUCACACAAGUUGACGGUCGGAAUGUAGCUAUACAAUGCCGUUCUCACAAGUUGAUGAGUAUCCGUAAAAAAUGUCUGGACUUAGCCAUUGAUAGGACAUGGUAACCUAGGUCUGCUCACACAAGUUGACGUUUAAAAUGUAAGCUACACAAUGUUGCUCACACAAGCUGAUGAGUAUCUACAACAAAUUCCAGACCUAAGCCAUCGAUAGGACAUUCAGGACCAGCACCUGAAACAUGAAAACCCUAAUGACAUGUCAUUUGUAUCAUAUAUAUUUCUAAUGUUCAAACGGGGCUCGAUAGUCGUCAAAACGUCGUUGGAUUUCCAUCGUUUCUUUAUAUGAUAAAUUGCAUAAUAAUACAUAACAUAUAUAUAUUGAUUCAUUUACAUUAAAACAACACACUAAACAUUAAAUGUAAUCAACAUUUAAGUGAUUAUAGUUCAUACGAACUUACCUGACUAAAUUACAGAAAUGUCGAAGUAUAGGGGCUAUUUGGUAAUUUCUUCAUUCUCCUCGAUUUUCAACUCGAUCUUGAUCUAAAUUAAUAAUUUCAUUCAUUUUAUUACUUAAGAUAGUAAAAAAAUUUAUUUUAUGCAAUUUAGUCAUUUUUUACAUUUACAAAAUUGUCUCUAACAUUUUACUUUUAUUCAAUUUAGUCCCUCAACCUAAAACAUGCAAAUUAACCAUUAUUAUUGCAAGCCCAUGCCAACUGAAUAUUAAAAGCAUCCAUUUCAGCCCACUUUUGCAAUAAUUUCACAUCAAGUCCUUGAAAUAUUUCUAUUUCAAUAAUUAGUCCCUAAUUGGCAAAUUCAUCAAAAAUCACUUAACAAAAUACUUUUAAAUACCAACCAGCAAUUUAAAUUCAUCAUUUAACAUCUAAAAUCACAAAUUUUCAUCAAUGGAAACAUUCAAACUCUUUAACAAUUUCAAAAACAAAGGUACGAGCUAGCUGGAUCUAGUUGCAACGAUCUCAAAAACAUAAAAAUUAUUAGAAACGAGGCAAAAAUCAAAUACCAAAUUAGCUUGUGAAGUUUCCGAAACCUCAAGGGCUAAAAAUGGUUCCUUUCUCCUUAAAAUCAGUGAAGAAGACAUGAAAAUGAUGAUAAUAACUUUUGUUUUUUAUUUAAUUUAAUUUAAUUUAAUUUAAUUUAAUUUAUCAAAUUACCAUUUUAACCUUGGAUAAUAAUUAAAUAAAACACUAAACCCAUACCCAUAUUUUUCCACUAACUCCUUAAAUGGUUUAAUUACCAUUUAAUUCCCUUUACCAUUACUCAUUAAGCCAUUUAAUCACUCAAAUCUAAUAGUGAUCAAAUUUUACAUCUUUUACAAUUUAGUCCUUUUUAAUUAAUGAACUAUGGAAACAUUAAAAUUUCUUAACGAAACUUUAAUACAACCUUAAUAAAAAUCCGUAAAUAUUUAUAAAAAUAUUUACAUCUCGGUUUAUAAAAACGAGGUUACGAUCCUCAUUUUCUAAAACCACUUGACUUUAGGGUCUUACCACUUGAACUUAAUGAAUCAUUCGAAUACAUAAAUUACCAUAUCAAAAACAUUUUUAAAAAUCAUAUUUGACUCGUAAAUAUUUUGUAAAUAAUAUUUACGAACUUACUCGUCGAAUUUGUGUCCUCGAAACCAUUGUUUCCAGCACCACUAAAAAAUGGGUUGUUAUAAACUAUCAAUGGCACCUUGGCGUGCUAGAUAUUGUAGUUUGCCAAAAAUUCAGUUGGCAUGAAUUUUUGAAUUCUUAGAUCAGUGUAUAGCAUUCAUUCAAACUAUAAUACAAAAUUAUAAGUUUUAUUAAGUACCUAAUAUUAAAUUUCAAAUCCUUAGGUAAAUAUUAUAUAAUUUAUAUUUUCAAAAACUAACCUCGACUUUCGAUCAUUGAUCUAACAAUAGGAAAAUAUCUUCGAGCUUGUCUGCUAUAACCACAUGACUCGCCUUAUGUUCCAC
rnacentral:lncRNA from 1 species